rnacentral:lncRNA from 1 species
AAAUUGAAUCCAGUUAUAAAACUGUUCUCACCAUGCAUUUUCUUUAUCUGCUCUAAGUUUUCCAUGCAAUGUUGAUCCUUUAAACGUGAAUCCAACAUGUCUGGAUAAACGUAUUCUAGAACUGUAGCUUCACAUUCGUAAAGCAUGUAAUACAUUUUUAACAAGUAAUGAUUAGCGAACUUUUUCCAUGCUUGAACCAUGGGAUUGGGUGAAUCAUAUGAUGUUGAGUUACACAACUUCAACUACUUUUUAAAGUUUUUUAAUAGUUCAAUCGUUGUCCUUAUUUGUUUAAUCCUCUCUUUAUCUCGUAUUUUAUUGAACAGUUUUUGUGAAAUAUCUUUCUCUACAACAGUUUUGAUUGCUGCACAGUAUUUUAUUGAUUGAUUGUAAUUAAUGGAGCUAACUGUUCCAUCUGGUUGAGCAACUUUAAGCUAGUUUUUUUAUUGUAGUAUUUGAAAAUUGUUUGAUGGCUAAACACGAUUUGUUUGAUGGCUAAAAUCGACUUAUCGUUAAACGAUACAUCGCCGCUCCUUAGUUAAAGACACACCUUCAAACUGAACGUCCUACAUUGAUCUCCUUUUGUCGCAGUAUAUUGUACAUGGUUGAUUUUAGAACAUUUUCCAUGCGAAAAUGGUUAACAACAAAACAUUGUUCUCUUCUAGAUGCAAAUCCAGAUAAGCGUUCACUCGUUUACGGAGUGCCUCUUGAUUUUUAAAUCUUUCAGACAUGUUUAAUUAGGUUCUGGAAAAAAAAAAGAGACGAUAUAUUGUUUAAUAUAUUGUAGAGGAAAUUGAAACAAAACUGUUUACCGUUUGACUCCAGUCCCAAUUAAACCUAGUGGGUUUAAAAAGAAAGAACCCCGCUGGAAACAUAAGGGGAUUAAAAGAAUCAGCCCUUUUUUGAAUUAAUAGUCGAAGUUGUAACCAGCUAGAAGUUGUAACCUGCUCGUAUGAAAGAAUUUCUUGACGUGAAAUAGUUAAUUUUAUUCAACAACGCCAAGAAACAGAGCUCUCUCAAGAAACAGAAAAGAAUGAG